CCCCUUUAGGUACAAAAUGGUAUGAAAAAAUCUCAACGCUGUUUUUGCCAAGGCCAAGUGCCGCUGUGAUUAAAGAAAAUGUGAGUCAGUUUCUGAAUGGAAAGUUGUAUAAAGUUUUCCGUCUGAAGCAUGGCAUACCUGAAGAAUUCGCUAAUUCAGUGAAGUCAGCAAUGAAGUGUAAUGAGCAGUAUGACCCUGUAGAAAUAACUCUCUGCAAUUUGCCUGAGACUGCUGAAGCUACAAGCUCCACUUCUUCCAGAACGGAAGACUUCAAGCAGCUCUAAAAUCACCAAAGCCUCUGGAACACAGAGCACAAUGCUUACCUGGGACGAGUGUGAACUCCUGAUGUCAGAAACCAGCAAGGAGUUUGAAACCGUGAUGGAAGGCAAGGGUGACAUUUCUGACAGUGAACUACCAAACCUAAGAGAAGGUGAUCUCAUUUUGAGAAACAUGAUUGAUGAAUCCAGCCCACUUUAUCAUGCUGGGGUGUACUGUGGAAACGAAGAAGUCAUUGAGUUAACAG